rnacentral:misc_RNA from 1 species
GACUGUUGCGUGUAUUGAGUGCCUGCAUAAAUUAUAUGGUUAUAAAUUUUAAUUGCCCAAAAAUAGUUUUAAAAGUAUGACUUCUCCAGAAAUGCAAAUCUUUCGCAUAACAAAAUUUGAAAACACUUCACGCAAUAGAAAUAUGAAAUAUCACAAUGGAGGUUUUGCAUGUCAAGCGCGCCACUACUUCCAGGAAAUAAGGAACAAAUCCUUAAGCAAAGAGAGCUAAUUCUCAAUAAUAAUCAUAGUCAAAAGUUUUCUAAAAAAACUCUUAAAUUUCCUAAUUAUAUACUAAUUAAAAUUCUUAAAUAGAAUUCUCUUCCCAUACUACAUCAUUUUCCAGUGGUUGGAGAAAACUCGAUCUUGAGUUUUGAUGUGCAGAAGGAUCUCGAACUAAGUGAGGAGAACACACAAUAUACAGAUAUUGCUUGGCAAGCGGAUAAAAAUCUUGCUGCAAUAGUUGUUGUGGUAAGGAACUUUUGUGGAAAGAUAAUAGGUGGUGGUGCCAAGCAAUUUAGGUGUGACUCUCCUUUGGCAGGUGAAGCUUUUGCUGUAUUGGAAGCAAUGAAGCUAGCAAAGGAUAUAGGUGCUCAGUCCUUCAUUGUGGAAUCUGACUCAAAAGUAGUGAUUUCAGCUCUGAAUGAAGGUGGUGAUAGUCUCCCGUGGGAAAUUAAAUCCAUUAAUUUGGCUAUUAAAAGCAUUGUUGUCUUUGUUCCUCCUAUAGCUUUUGUUCAUGUUAAGAGAGCUGCAAAUAGAGCUGCUAAUUAUAUUGCAAAACUAUGCUCCAGGGGUU